rnacentral:rRNA from 1 species
UACGGGGGGGGCAAGCGUUGUUCGGAAUUACUGGGCGUAAAGGGCUCGUAGGUGGCCAACUAAGUCGGAUGUGAAAUCCCCAGGCUUAACCUGGGAAUUGCAUCCGAUACUGGAUGGCUUGAAUCCGGGAGAGGGAUGCGGAAUUCCAGGUGUAGCGGUGAAAUGCGUAGAUAUCUGGAGGAACACCGGUGGCGAAGGCGGCAUCCUGGACCGGCAUUGACGCUGAGGAGCGAAAGCCAGGGGAGCAAACGGG